rnacentral:rRNA from 1 species
AGUGAACGCUGGCGGUAGGCCUAACACAUGCAAGUCGAACGGCAGCACAGUAAGAGCUUGCUCUUACGGGUGGCGAGUGGCGGACGGGUGAGGAAUACAUCGGAAUCUACUUUUUCGUGGGGGAUAACGUAGGGAAACUUACGCUAAUACCGCAUACGACCUACGGGUGAAAGCAGGGGAUCUUCGCACCUUGCGCGAUUGAAUGAGCCGAUGUCGGAUUAGCUAGUUGGCGGGGUAAAGGCCCACCAAGGCGACGAUCCGUAGCUGGUCUGAGAGGAUGAUCAGCCACACUGGAACUGAGACACGGUCCAGACUCCUACGGGAGGCAGCAGUGGGGAAUAUUGGACAAUGGGCGCAAGCCUGAUCCAGCCAUACCGCGUGGGUGAAGAAGGCCUUCGGAUUGUAAAGCCCUUUUGUUAGGGAAGAAAAGCUGCAGAUUAAUACCCCGCUGUUCUGACGGUACCCAAAGAAUAAGCACCGGCUAACUUCGUG